UUUUGUGUUUGCAUGUGCUUCCACACCUAUUCAUUUGGGAUCAUUUACCAUAUAAAGAAAAGUCAAGAGUCAAAGAAUAAAUGGUGAUUCAAAUCAAGAUUUCUCCGGUACCUUAUGUCAAAUCAAAAAAAA